rnacentral:rRNA from 1 species
GACGAACGCUGGCGGCGUGCUUAACACAUGCAAGUCGAACGGUGAAGGGGAGCUUGCUCCCCGGAUCAGUGGCGAACGGGUGAGUAACACGUGGGCAACCUGCCCCAGACUUCGGGAUAACGCUUCGAAAGAGGUGCUAAUACCGGAUACGAACUCCUUGGGCAUCCUUGGGGUUGGAAAGUUUUUCGGUCUGGGAUGGGCCCGCGGCCUAUCAGCUUGUUGGUGAGGUAACGGCUCACCAAGGCGACGACGGGUAGCCGGCCUGAGAGGGCGACCGGCCACACUGGGACUGAGACACGGCCCAGACUCCUACGGGAGGCAGCAGUGGGGAAUAUUGCGCAAUGGGCGAAAGCCUGACGCAGCAACGCCGCGUGAGGGAUAACGGCCUUCGGGUUGUAAACCUCUUUCAGCAGGGAAGAAGCGAAAGUGACGGUACCUGCAGAAGAAGCACCGGCUAACUACGUGCCAGCAGCCGCAGUAACAC